GUGACCAAGGGAAUUUGCAAGUGUGGAGGCAGAAUAAUUCAUGUGCUCAAAACAUUUUCCACGACGUGUUUUUUUCAGGUUAACGUCAAGACCUCACGGUGACUUUAUCAAUGAUAAUGAAUGUGGGACAUCGCUGGAAUGGAGGUAAGUGAUCCUGUGGGUCUAAACCACAGUACAUACCAUCCAGCUUUCAUACAUUGAGGUAAAUGGUGAGUGUCCUUACACUUCCUGUUACCAUGAAUUUUUUGAAGGUGUGCGGGUAAGAAAUGAUAGAGUCCUUACUAAUUCCAAAGACCCUGUUUCUCUGCUUUCUGUAUUUCAGGAAAUGUUCAUUUUUAACCCUCUGAGUGUUGAGGGACUGCACGUAUACAGGUAUUUAUCAUGAUAUUGCCCGUGAAAGUCCUACCCAUAGGCUGUUUGCAGGUGUCCAAUCAUAGAAUGAUGGUCUUAUCUGAUACUGGUAUUAACCUUGGAUUACUGUAAGUAUCCAGUAGAGUUGAUGUGUCUCGUGAUGAUGAAGUGAACACUGUUAUUUGCAGGUUUCCUGGUAGGAAAAAGCUAUGUCCUUCAACACACGCUCGUAAUGUCUUUCCAGCUUAAAGUCACGAAUUGAUGAAUCUAACAUUGCUCAUCAGUGGGGAUGUUCCUAGUGUGCAGGUAAGUGAUGACGUGGGCCUAGACCAAGCCAUCCGAUCUCCAUCUAGCUGGGUAAGUGAUGAAGGUUUCCCUAACAAUUGUUACCAUUUUUCUUUGCAAGUAUUCAGGUAGGAAAUAGUCCUUACCAAUUCUGGAAACCCUGAGUUUUUUCUUUUUAUGUUUUAGAGAAAAUUUUAUUUUAUUCUUGUGCGUGAUGAGGGGUUGCCAUAUUCAGGUAAUGAUCAUGAUGUAUCUAACCCUAGCCGUAACCGUGGAAAUUUUGCAUGUGUUUCAUAAUGAAAUGUUGUUAUAUCUGAUCAUGAUCUUGACCUUGGUUGGAAUACUGCAAAUAUUUAGGCAGAAUUGAUGUUCUGCUAAUGAAGGAAGCGUCUCAGGUAAUUAAUUUGAGGUUUCUUGCUGCAAGUUCUGUCUUUUUACACAUCCGUAACGUGCUUUUCAGAUUCCUGCCGAAAGAUCAAGAUGAAAUCAAUGGUUAAUGGGGGACAUUUCUGGUAUCCAGAUAGGUUAUGCCGUAUGCCUUCACCACAUCAGACCAUCUGAUAGUCACAUAGCUAGGUUCUGGCAGUCAUGCAAUAACGGUGAACCUAAAAAUCGUCAUUAACAGAACCUUACCAGUAACCAAGUAAGUGAUAAAGUGGGUCUUACGUCGCUACAGACCGUGUGAUCUUCAGAUAUCCGAGUGAGCAUGGUUUCCCUAACAGAGUGUCACUUUGUGUUUUUUGCAAGUGCCCUGUUAAGUCCUUUCCUAGUAUACGGGUAUGAGAUUAUGUGGCAUUAACUCAAUAGAGAGCUGCUUGUUUUUCGUACAUGCAAAUGAUGUUUUCAAUACCAUGUUAACUAUGUUUUUGGCACGUGUGCAGUUCAGAAAUUAAUUUGACCCAAAUAGUACUAGUAAGCAUGAGAUUUUAGCGUCUUCGUAUUCAGAGAUGAUGUGUUUUUAUACACCCAUAGUGGUAGAUAGGCAGAAAUCCAGGUAAUUUAUCACACUGUCCAUCACCGCAUUAUUGACUGUGGGAUUUUUGCAGGUAUCCCUUCAAGAGUGGAAGGUGUCUCUUACUAGGGUUUAACCUCAGAUUUCUGCCGCUAUCCAGGUUCAUGUGAAGACCUCCCUAUGAGCCGGUUAGUGGUAGUUAAUGAUGCGUGCAUAGCAGGUAUUGAGGUAAGUGAUAAUGUGGGCCUAACCCACAGUACAGAUCAUAUGACCUUCAUACACGUAAAUAAGUGACGAUGGUGUCCCUAACACUUGUGUUACCAUAUAUUUUUCCAGGUACCCUGUUCAGGUCUUUGGUAGUACAAGGGUAUGAGAUGAUAUAAUAUUAACUCAUCGAUGUUCCUAUUUUCAACUAUCUAUGUAAUUGUUUUUAAGACUCCUCCUUCCCUUGUUUUUGGCAAGUAGAAGUUAAGUUAAUUUGACCCUGACCGUGGGGGACGGGAAGGGGGAAAACCUAGUUACACAGAGGGAGAGAGGCAAACUAUAAGAGACUCUUAAAUACAGAGAAUGAACUGAGGGUUGAUUGGGGGGGGGGGGGAAUGGGUGAUGGGCAUUGAGGAGGACGCUUGCUGGGAUGA